rnacentral:rRNA from 1 species
AUUGAACGCUGGCGGCAGGCCUAACACAUGCAAGUCGAACGAGUGGCGGACGGGUGAGUAAUGUCUGGGAAACUGCCCGAUGGAGGGGGAUAACUACUGGAAACGGUAGCUAAUACCGCAUACCAUCGGAUGUGCCCAGAUGGGAUUAGCUAGUAGGGGGGGUAACGGCUCACCUAGGCGACGAUCCCUAGCUGGUCUGAGAGGAUGACCGUCCACACGGGAACUGAGACACGGUCCAGACUCCUACGGAGGGCAGCAGUGGGGAAUAUUGCACAAUGGGCGAAAGCCUGAUGCAGCCAUGCCGCGUGUAUUAAGAGGGCCUUCGGGUUGUAAAGUACUUUCAGCGGGGAGGCGUUACUCGCAUAGGAAGCACCGGCUAACUCCGUGCCAGCAGCCGCGGUAAUAC